CAGUCGCCACGGGAAUACGUAGGGGGCAAGCGUUGUCCGGAAUUAUUGGGCGUAAAGCGCGCGCAGGCGGUCAUGUAAGUCUGGUGUUUAAUCCCGGGGCUCAACCCCGGAUCGCACUGGAAACUGGGUGACUUGAGUGCAGAAGAGGAGAGUGGAAUUCCACGUGUAGCGGUGAAAUGCGUAGAGAUGUGGAGGAACACCAGUGGCGAAGGCGACUCUCUGGGCUGUAACUGACGCUGAGGCGCGAAAGCGUGGGGAGCAAACAGGAUUAGAUACCCCCGUAGUCCCUGUCUCUUAUACA
rnacentral:rRNA from 1 species